CGGGAUGUAAUUCAGCGGCUAGAAGCCAUACUUUGGGAGUAUGGAGUCGCAGGUUCAAAUCCUGCCAUCCCGA
rnacentral:tRNA from 1 species